rnacentral:rRNA from 1 species
ACGGAGGGUGCAAGCGUUAAUCGGAAUUACUGGGCGUAAAGCGCACGUAGGUGGUUUGUUAAGCAGCUGUGAAAUCCCCGGGCUCAACCUGGGAAUUGCGGUUGGAACUGGCAAGCUAGAGUAGGGUAGAGGGGUGUGGAAUUCCAGGUGUAGCGGGGAAAUGCGUAGAUAUCUGGAGGAAAAUCAGUGGCGAAGGCGACACCCUGGACUCAGACUGACACU